rnacentral:lncRNA from 1 species
GUUCUGGGCUUAGAAUCCUGGUUGGCUGACUUCUGGCUUAUUGCUCUUUUCACAGCCGUAAGCUGUCUCCUGCAAUUGAUUUCUUCAGAGUCCAUGGCUAAUUCUUUAGGAUACCCUAAUCGUGGGCCAUGAAAUUCUUCAUGCUCUGGGAUUUUUGUUUUCCUGAAACCUUUGACACAGAGCUUUCAUUGAGAAGAGGAAAUGAAGAAAGAAGCAUGGUUCCAAGUACCAUGAAUAGCCCCACCCGAGGGGAGCAGUUUAUGUGUGCAGAAAGCGCCCUGGGGACCACUUCAUCAUACCCACGCAGAGAGGCCAGCACAUAGCAGGAACUCUGCUUUAGAGGCUGGAUCCCAGCCAACCUGAGCUUGGACCCUGGCACCAGCUGAGCAUCACUUUCACCGACAUUCAGCUCUGCAGGGUCCCUCAUCUACAGAGCCCCUAAGUUUGGCUGAACAUCGUCACUAUGCUAGGCAAGGAUCCCAGUGAGCAAGGAAAGGCCUGCAGAUGCCUCUCCCAACGAAGACCUGUGCACC